rnacentral:rRNA from 1 species
UACAGAGGGGGCAAGCGUUAUUCGGAAUUAUUGGGCGUAAAGGGCGCGUGAGGCGCUUUGCAAGUGGCGGGUGAAAUCCCUCGGCUUAACCGAGGAACUGCCUGCCAGACUGUGAGGCUUGAGACCGGGGAGAGGUGAGUGGAAUUCCCAGUGUAGCGGUGAAAUGCGUAGAUAUUGGGAGGAACACCAGUGGCGAAGGCGGCUCACUGGACCGGAACUGACGCUGAGGCGCGAAAGCGUGGG